rnacentral:rRNA from 1 species
GGUGGAAAGACCUUCGGUCAAGGAUCAGCUCACGGCCUAUCAUUUAGUUGGUGAGGUAAUGGCUCACCAAGACGACGACGGGUAGCCGGCCUGAGAGGGUGACCGGCCACACUGGGACUGAGACACGGCCCAAACUCCUACGGGAGGCAGCAGUGGGGAAUAUUGCACAAUGGGCGCAAGCCUGAUGCAGCAACGCCGCGUGAGGGACGACGGCCUUCGGGUUGUAAACCUCUUUUAGCAGGGAAGAAGCGAAAGUGACGGUACCUGCAGAAAAAGCACCGGCUAACUACGUGCCAGCAGCCGCGGUAAUACGUAGGGUGCAAGCGUUGUCCGGAAUUAUUGGGCGUAAAGAGCUCGUAGGCGGUUUGUCACGUCUGCUGUGAAAUCCCGAGGCUCAACCUCGGGCUUGCAGUGGGUACGGGCAGACUAGAGUGCGGUAGGGGAGAUUGGAAUUCCUGGUGUAGCGGUGGAAUGCGCAGAUAUCAGGAGGAACACCGAUGGCGAAGGCAGAUCUCUGGGCCGUAACUGACGCUGAGGAGCGAAAGCAUGGGGAGCAAACAGGCUUAGAUACCCUGGUAGUCCAUGCCGUAAACGUUGGGAACUAGAUGUGGGGACCAUUCCACGGUCUCCGUGUCGUAGCUAACGCAUUAAGUUCCCCGCCUGGGGAGUACGGCCGCAAGGCUAAAACUCAAAGGAAUUGACGGGGGCCCGCACAAGCGGCGGAGCAUGCGGAUUAAUCCGAUGCAACGCGAAGAACCUUACCAAGGCUUGACAUAUACGAGAACGCACUGGAGACAGUGAACUCUUUGGACACUCGUAUACAGGUGGUGCAUGGUUGUCGUCAGCUCG